rnacentral:rRNA from 1 species
GACGAACGCUGGCGGCGUUCCUAAUACAUGCAAGUCGAACGCCGUGGGGUCGGGUGAGUAACACGUGGGUAACCUCCCAUCAGAGGGGAUAACCCUUGGAAACAGGUGCUAAACCGAUACUGAUGGCUUGACCCGCGGGGCAUUAGCUAGUUGGUGAGUUAACGGCUCACCAAGGCCACGAUGCAUAGCCGACCUGUGAGGGUGAUAGGCCACACUGGGACUGAGACACGGCCCAGACGCCGACGUGAGGCAGCAGUAGGGAAUCUUCGGAAAUGGACGAAAGUCUGACGGAGCAACGCCGCGGAAGUGAUGAAGGUCUUCGGAUCGUAAAACUCUGUUAUGAGGGAAGCGGUACCUAAUCAGAAAGCCACGGCUAACUACGUGCCAGCAGCCGCGGUAAUAC